rnacentral:rRNA from 1 species
CGGAAUUACUGGGCGUAAAGGGCUCGUAGGCGGCCAACUAAGUCAGACGUGAAAUCCCCAGGCUUAACCUGGGAACUGCGUCUGAUACUGGAUGGCUUGAAUUCGGGAGAGGGAUGCAGAAUUCCAGGUGUAGCGGUGAAAUGCGUAGAGAUCCGGAGGAACGCCAGAGACGAAGGUGGCUACCUGGCCCUGACCUGACACUGAGGCGCGAAAGCGUGGGGAGCGAACCGG